UUUUUAUUUCUUACUUUCCCAUAUUAGGGGUGAUAGCCAAAGGGGUUCUGGUAAGAGAAAGGGGGACAAACAGAACUGGUAAAGAGGCCCCCCUGGCUCCAGGCCUGUCCAUCAGGAAGUAAAUUUUACAGGGCACCAAGCUUUGCCCCCUAAAAUCCAUUAGGUGUUCUUUGUUCAUGCAGGCAGGUUUCUGCCGCAUUUGAUGUGGAGGCAGUGAAGGGCUUGCCCUGCUGGCCUCUCAUCCCCCUUCUUCCCACAACCCUUGGGCAG
rnacentral:lncRNA from 1 species